UCUACGGGAGGCAGCAGUGGGGAAUAUUGUGCAAUGGGCGAAAGCCUGACGCAGCGACGCCGCGUGAGGGAUGACGGUCUUCGGAUCGUAAACCUCUGUCAGCAGGGAAGAACGGUCACUGUGCUAAUCAGCAGUGAAUUGACGGUAACUGCAAAGGAAGCACCGGCUAACUCCGUGCCAACAGCCGCUGUAAUACGGGGGGUGCGAGCGUUAAUCGGAAUGGCUGGGCGUAAAGCGCUCGUAGGCGGUAUGUCAAGUCAAGGGUGAAAUCCCCGCGCCCAACGUGGGAACUGCCUUUGAAACUGGAAAACUGGAGUGGGUGAGAGGAUAGUGGAAUUCCAGGUGUAGCGGUGAAAUGCUUAGAUAUCACGCAGAACCCCGAUUGCGAAGGCAGCUUACUAACCUGUGACUGACAUUGAUGCUCGAAAGUGUGGGUAUCAAACAGGAUUAGAUACCCGAGUAGUC
rnacentral:rRNA from 1 species